AUUUUGGAACUGUUUGAAGGGGAUAAUGUGAGAACUCGCUUUGAAUUCUGGAAGACUGUUGGAAAAGAAACUUGAUACCCAAGGACCAAUUAACUUCAAUUUCUAUAGUUACUAGUUCCACUGGUCUUCUAGAUGAACAAGCAGUCCUGCAAUUGUAUAUUGCACUCUUUUAUCACCACCAUUGCUGAUAAUAGGAAAUUCAUGAAGUCAUCCUUUUAAUGGGGUAGUUUAUUUGUUUUCACAUGAUGUGGCCAAUACUUUGGAUUCAAAUGCUUUUAUAAUGUACAUUUCACAUUUAAUUACGAAAACAUCUUUGAAUGGGGAAGUUCAUUUCGUGUUUCCAGAUGUACCCAAUAGUGGGUAUAUUUUGCAGUGACCUUUUUUUUUUUUUUGCAUAUGCUCUUAUUCCAUAUGAUUGUUUGCUCUGUAACAAGUGUUCCUUUUGGUGGCAAUAUUCUAAUCUUUUCUUGUUAGCAGAGAACACUGAUGAACCAAGAAGUCUGAACUGUGCAGUUAGUCCAAACCUUCAAGCCAAUAUUAAAUGAAAGUGGUUUAUGGCUAAUGAUGGGAAGAUGAAGCUGAAGGCAAUGCUUCUAACCCAUUCCUCUUCAGAAAUACAUUCUAGAAAACUUCAGAACCUUGGUCUGAUUUCUAUUCUUGAUUUUACCUGCAAUGCCAUUACAAAUCAGCCUAGAAAAUUUCACAAGAGAUGCAUUUUCGCACCUAGCAAGUGAACAAGUUUGCCUCGCUUGGUCUAGAACGAGCUCCCCUCGGGUCAGGAGUGCAUCAAGCAUAUCCAAAAACCAGGUAUAUAAAAGGCCAUCACAUUGUGGAGCUCUUCAUCUACUUGACAGACUUUCAUUGAAUUGUCUUUUUAUUUUGAAGUCUUCCAUUGUAGAUUUUAAUUUUUACUGUCAAAUUUGCAAGUCAGAUAAAUAACGUUGCAAAUUACAUCAUGGUUGUUUUUACUAUCUUUUGAUUCUUAAAUGAAUAUGGCUUAAAUAUAUUUUAUUUUAUUUUAU